rnacentral:rRNA from 1 species
AUGGUUCUUGUUGUUGCACAUGGUUCUCAGCGCGUUCCUUCGACGUCCUUGGGCUCUUCUUCUUCCGUUGGUGCUUCUGAUGGGAGGUUGGCUGUUGAGGGUGGUUCUAAUCUUGGUUCGAGGGUUGAUGAGGCGUGGCGGCGACACGAGGAACGACCGCCAUGGGAAAUGACAUGUAUAUUCAUCGUUUGGUCCUCUGAUUUCUCCAUCUUAUUUGGAUCCAGACAAAGCUCACUCUUGCCGGCAGGAAGGUGUCCUGUUUACUUCAUGAUGGUGGACGUGCUAUGUAUUGUUUAUUUAACUUUCUGUUUGGUUUGUCAUUUAUUCCUUUUUUGUUCUUUUACACUUACGUCGAUGGCAUGUCUCUUGAUUUGCCUCCAAUUUUAUGAUAUCCUUGACAAGAAGCUAAAUGAAGAGGGCCUAAAGCUAAGGUAUAUUUUGGUUUCACUUUAG